UACGAAGGGGGCUAGCGUUGUUCGGAAUCACUGGGCGUAAAGGGCGCGUAGGCGGCCGAUUAAGUCGGGGGUGAAAGCCUGUGGCUCAACCACAGAAUUGCCUUCGAUACUGAUUGGCUUGAGACCGGAAGAGGUCAGUGGAACUGCGAGUGUAGAGGUGAAAUUCGUAGAUAUUCGCAAGAACACCAGUGGCGAAGGCGGCUGACUGGUCCGGUUCUGACGCUGAGGCGCGAAAGCGUGGGGAGCAAACAGA
rnacentral:rRNA from 1 species